rnacentral:lncRNA from 1 species
AUCUAUAAUUUUAGUUACCCAAUCAAAAAAAUCAAUAAGAUUAGUUUGGCAUGAUCUCCCUGAAGUAAACCCAUGUUGUCUCUGAUCUUGAAAUCCAUGUGUUUUUAGAUUUUCAUCAAUCCUAUCCUUUAACAUGGUUUCCAUCACUUUCCCCACUACUGAAGUAAGGCUUACUGGCCUAUAGUUUCCCGACUCCUCCCUAUUACCUUUCUUGUGAAUGGGCACAACAUUUGCUAACUUCCAAUCUU